GAUAGAGCAACGGCCUUCUAAGCCGUAGGUCACACGUUCGAAUCGUGUAGGGCGGGCCA
rnacentral:tRNA from 1 species